AUUUCAAGGUUUAGGGUUUAGGGUUUAGAGUUGAUGUUUCAAGGUUUAGGGGUUAGAGUUGAUGAUUUAGGGUUUAAAGUUGAUGUUUUUAGUUUAGAUUUAGGGUUUACGUUUAGGGUUUAGAGUUGAUGUUUUAGUGUUUAGAUUUGAAGUUUUAGGGUUUAGAAUUUAGAGUUAUGUUUCGGGGUUUAGGGUUUAGAGUUAAUGUUUUAUGGUUUAGGGUUUAGAGUUUAUGAUUUAGGGUUUAGAAUUGAUGUUUUAAGUUUAGAUUAGUUAACAAUAUGUUUUUUUUUGUCAAAGGUAAUCAAAAGGUUAUAAAUGUCUUUUACUCUUCAUUAGUGUAAAUAUGAAAAGUGGUACUUUGAAAAUUGUAUUUUGGCAAUUUCCCUUCCGUUUUUUUUUUUUUUUUUUUAAUAAUAUUAUCAUUUGAUAUAAAAGCACGAAAAUUAGAAUAAGUAAAUAUACAAUAUAAGAAAAAUAAACAAUAGGUAAAAUACAAUUAAUUAAUUAAAAAAAACUAAAUUAAAAAUCUCUCUCAAAAAAUGUAUAGUAAAAUAAAUAAUAAGUAAAUAUACAAUAUAAUAAAUAGAAAUAUUAUAUUCAACAUCUAUCAUAAUAUUAGAAUAAGUAAAUAUACUAUAUAAGCAAAAUAAAAACAAAUCUGAAAAACAUACAUUAAAAUAAAUUAUAAGUAAAUAUACAAUAUAAGAAAUAAAAAUACUACAUUAAACAUUUAUAAAUAAUAUCACCAUUUGAUAUAAAAGCAAAAAAAAUAGAAUAAGUAAAUAUACAAUAUAAGAAAAAUAAAAAAUAGGUAAAAUACAAUUAAGAAUUGCAAAAACUACAUUAAACAUCAAUCUGAAAAAUGUAUUGUUUUACUUUUUUAUUAUUUAAAAUACAAUAAGUAAAUAUAAAUUUUAAAUAUAUACAAUAUGAGAAAGGAAAAACUAUAUCAAACAUCUAUCUCAAAAAUGUAUAGUUUUCUAAUUUUUUCUAAAGAAAUAUGUAUUCACACAAACAUACAAUUCAGAAUUUGUUGUUGUUCAGAAUACAACGUUCAAAAAAAUAACUAUAUGGUUAACAUUUGAAAAUAAAAAUAGUCCCGACCGUAGCGCGGAUUAACUCCUAGUCUUUAUAUAUAAAGAACAGUUUUCUCUAUCCUGGUGAAGACACCUAAGAUGCCAUGUCACAAAAUCAGGUUCUGUGAGUGUGACACGUGUCAUAGGAAACAAAACACAUCAUUUUAUUAAAACAGGUUUGAUGAGCUUCGAUCUGAUCACUGUCUGUUUACGUUUUGCGCUGUAAAAAUUAGAUGUUUUGCGGCCCGAGCAUAUGGAAUCAUGCGUAACCCUAAUUGUAAUGAAACGAGGAGAUGGAGAUAAUGUUAGAAACGCAACGUUUCUGAUUUUAUAAUUUCAUCGCUCUCUCCUCUCCGUCGUAGCGAUUCAAAGGUUUCUAUCGAUUUAUUCAUCUUCUUCCUGCCAAUCCAGAGAUCAAUCGGUUAUAGAUUCAUUCCUAUUAAAUUCCUUCUUAAUCCAUAGGCAGUGGAGGUUCAACUAUAAAAAGGUUAGCAUCCAUACACUAUGAAUCAUCCUAUCAAUCUACUUAUUUACUGAGAAAUGGCUCUCGAGUUUUCCUUUCAGUUUCUCUGGAUCAAUCAUUAUAGUCCCCAUAAAAUCUCUCACAGUGGCCGACUCAUCAAUUUUGCUAGCCGAGUUGAAAUCUGGGCAUUGCUGCAACACCGAAGUCUGAAUGUUGAGGCUCCUCCUUGACGAGAAGGUAAUUUCAGUGGACAUUAACUGUUUUUAGUGUUUUUAGGAGAAAGAAUGCAAACUUCUGGGUUGUUGAUCUUUAGGCCACCGCCUCAACACCUUCAGAUAGAUUUUUUAGGAAGGCUCAUUGUACUCUAUUAGUGGGUUUGACGUUCCAUGUAGCAAUGUUAACUUCAAGCUGUCGGACUCCAAUCUCUCCAUACGUUUCAGUGAUCAAACUGUCUUGCUGAGAUAACCGAACCGGCCAAUCCAAUACCCAUGUAGCUGUUCAGGUUCGGCAGUUAACAUCAGCUACUUGCUUUAGCAAACGUCAAUACUCAUCUUCCUGGGUACUCUCUCGGCCUCUGCUUCUAAAACAUAUAUUCUGUUUUUUUUGUGUGCAUCAAAUACCGCAAUGAACAAUAGGUACUUGCUGAUGCUGUCACUGCCAAUUAUUGUUUGGCAGACAUUUUCGGUGAAUUGACUGAGAUCAGAAGCACACUGAAUGAAGACUUACAGAGCAAAGUACGUGUGAUAGCGACUAUUAAAAUUCAGAGGUUAGUCUCGCUGUCCUAGGAAAACAUUUCUUCAUUGGAUUCCUCUAAGGAACACUAGAACGACCCAGAUUUGAUAUAAAAGCACGAAAAUUAGAAUAAGUAAAUAUACAAUAUAAGAAACAUAAAUAUUACGUUAAAAAUCUAUCAUAAUAUUAUCAUUUGGUAUAAAAGCAAGAAAAUUAGAAUAAGUAAAUAUAUAAUUACACAAUAUAAAAAAUAGAAAUAUUAUAUAAAAUAUUUAUCGUAAUAUUAGAAUAAGUAAAUAUAAAAUUCAAUAAAUAAUAAGUAAAUUUAGUAUAUAAAAAAUAAAAAUAUUACAUUAAAUAUAUAUCGUAAUAUUAUCAUUGAUAUAAAAGCAAAAAAUUUAUCAAAAAUUUUUAUUACUGUAUAUAAAAGGGAUACCCUUUGAAAAAUGUAAGAACUAUGUCAAAAACUAUAACACACAUGGAUUUGGGAUAUCUUUCUUGAGUUACACUGUAAUAUUUUUUGUACAGAAAAGGAGAUAUAUUAUAAAUAUUAACUGACCAAAAAUAUAAAAUAAAGAUAGAAAACUUAUGCAGUGAAAAAAAAUUGUUUUCAAGCUUUGUUGCAACUACUGAAUAUCCAGCCAAAGUUUAUGCAGAAUCUCACUACGGGAUUAUGAUAAAUGUUUGGAUCAGCAAUGUCCUUCCAAUCUCACUUUUCAAAUUUUUAAUCUAUUAGUAUCGUAUGUUUUGACACAAAUUCUUUUAGUCAGUUAUAUUACAAGUUUCAUAAAAAAAAAUCAAAUAUGGUAUAAUAAAACAAACAUAAUAUGAGUGUAGUAUACAAAAAGGUCAUUUAAGCAAAUUACAUGAUGAAUCCUCUUAGAUAUUUAAUAUGGUUCACAAAUAAAGUUUCAGAUUUUAUGAAAUUAAAAAAAAUUAAAAUGAUCUCAAAUGAGUUAAGGAGUUAUAUAAAAUAAAGAUAUUUAGAGAAGAAUAUUUAUAAUAUAGAUAAAAUAAAGAUAUAAAGAGGUAUGUCUAUAUGUUAGUCAAUAUUUUUAAUAUUAUAUAUAAAUAACACCUAAAACAAAUUAGUUUAAGAGAUAGCAUAAAAGAAUGUAAACAAAUUAUGAAUAUGUUUAUUUAGAAACUAAAUAUGUUUAUUUAGAAACUAAGAACAAUAAAAUUUUAAAACUUCUAAUAUUUAGACAAGUAAUCACGAGAUACAAUUAUAUAUAUAUAUAUAUAUAUAUAUAUAUAUAUAUAUCUGUUUUGAAUUUUCUAUCAUAAUUAUUAUAUCUUGUUUAAUUUUCUUACUUUAGUAAUGCAUUAUUCUUAUUCAGCCUCUACCAUAAAUACAAUUAAUAAAUUAUUUGGAAAUGUUGACUAAACUUUUAUGAGUUUAUUUAAAUUUUUAUCAAACAUUAUAAAACUACUAAUAAAUGACUCUUAGCAGUUUGACUAAAUUUUGGAGAAUUAAUUGAAAAGAUUUAUAAAGUUGACAAGCUAUCCCAACUAACUUCAAACGACUCAAGAGUCCACAAAAUUCUUAAACAAUUGACAUCAACACAAUAGUAACACAAGUAGUCUCUCUAGCUUUGACACAUCAACUUUUAAUUUUGGACGUUGUAUUCUGAACAACAACAAAAUUUUGAAUUAUACAUUUGUGUGAACACAUAUUUUCUUAGAAAAAACUAGAACACUAUACAUUUUUCAUAUAGAUAUUUGAUAUAGUUUUCUAUUUCUUAUAUUGUAUAUUUACCUAUUAUUUAAUUUUUAUUAUAUUGUGUAUUUCUAUUUCUUAUACUUUCUAUUUACUAAUAAUUUUAUAUUUUAAGAUUGAUUUACAUUUUAAGAUAGAUGUUUAAAUACUAAAUGAAUUUUGUUUAAUUAUAUAUAAGGUUCUUUUUUUUGUCGACAACAUUACACACUUAUAUUGACUCUGUAAACCACACCGUAAGAUGUUGAUCCAUGUGAACGACGAAAGACGUUUAUAUAUAACUAUAUAAGGUUCAUUAAGGGUAUUUUUUAAAAUUAAUAAAUUAGCGACUUAGCUAAAAACUAAUAAUAAAUCAAUGAUUUAGCUAAAACUUAAUAAAAACAUGACAAAUGAAAAAAUUACCUAAAAUUAUGGAGAAUAUGACAAAUCAGCAAAUUCACUUCUCAAAUAAUAGAAUAGAUUUGAAUAGAUUCUAAAUUCAAAUAUAAAUAUAAAGAAAACUAGGUGUUUUGACCGCACAUGCGGGCAUAACCAUCUUACGAAUACUUAUUAUAUUAUGGGAAAUUUCUAAAAUUACUAUUUUCAAAGUACCAUUUUUAAUGUUUACAGUAACCACUUUCACUCUUAUCUUUAAUGAAUGAUAAAAUACAUUUAUAACCUUUUGAUUACCUUUGACGAAAAAAACAUAAGGUUAACUAAUCUACACUUAAAACAUCAACUCUAAACCCUAAAUCAUCAACUCUAAACUUUAAACUACGAAACAUCAACUCUAAACCCUAAAUCCCGAAACAUCAACUCUAAACCCUAAACCUUCAAAUCUAAACCCUAAUACAUCAACUCUAAACCCUAAACGUAAACCCUAAACCCUAAAUCUGAACUUAAACAUCAACUUUAAACCCUAGAUCAUCAACUCUAAACCCUAAACUUUGAAACAUCAACUCUAAACCCUAAACCCAGAAACAUCAACUCUAAACCCUAAAUCCUAAAUCUUCAAAUCUAAACCCUAAAACAUCAACUCUAAACCCCAAACGUAAACCCUAAACCCUAUAUUUUUCUGAAAUCCGAACCCUAAACCCUAAGACCCUAAACCUUCAAAUCUAAGCCCUAAAACAUCAACUCUAAACCCUAAACGUAAACCCUAAACCCUAAAACCCUAAACUUUCAAAUCUACACCCUAAAACAUAAACUCUAAUUUUAGGGUUUAUGGUUUAUGGUUUAGGGUUUAGGGUUUAGGGUUUAGGGUUUAGGGUUUAGGGUUCAGAGUUG
rnacentral:lncRNA from 1 species